rnacentral:lncRNA from 1 species
GGCUAGGGGUCUAAUCGGAGCUGUAGCCAGCAGCCUAUGCCAAAGACAUAGCCAUGUGGGAUCUGAGCUGUGUCUGCAACCUACACCACAGCUCACGGCAACACCAGAUCCUUAACCCACUGAGCGAGGCCAAGGAUUGAACCUGCAACCUCAUAGUUCUUAGUCGGAUUCAUUAACCACUGAGCUACGAUGGGAACUCCUGAAACAGAAUAUUUUUUAAAAAGUAUCCUUUCACGAAUAUACUUAACUAAGAUGUUUCUAUUUUGCCAUUUAUUUUGUCUUUCCCCUAAGCUUUUGGUAGGCUAUUAACUGAAAAUACAGUUGCUCCCUGUACAAAGAAAUGUCAUAUUAGUUUUGUGAGUUCGAAAGAGCCCUCCUGACUCCUUCCAAUUUCCAAUCACUCGUUUCCCUACUUCAGCAUCUGUCUUAGAGGAGAAAUAAAAGGUUUAUCUAUGCUUUGCACUUCUUACUUAGGAGUAGAGCAGUUUCAUAAUUCUUCUAUUGAUAAUUGAAUAAACUAAUCAAAUUUACUUACAUCUAAUAAGCUUAAGAAAUUAUUAGAGGAGUAUGAACCUUAUCUACUUUUACCCAAAGACAUUAAAAACAUAUGGAAUACAUAUCAGCAUCAGCUACCUCUGGUGCGAUCUACGAAGCAAGGCACAUGCGUUCUGUGGUAUUCUUACCCAAAGUGUAGAAUCUUAACGUGUGCGCAAGAAAAUAUCCAAUAUACCCAAACUGAGGGGUGUGAGGCCAGCCAUCUUUCUUCCAAACCUCAGAUCAGUACUUUUCAAGACAUUCUGCUAAAGGAACGCAAGGAAGGAUAGAGAAACUGUUGGAGAUUGAAAGAAACUGCAGAGACCUGACAACUCAAUGCGUGGUGAGACCCUGGGACCAAAAAAAGAGCAGUAGUGGAAAAGGCGGUGAAAUCUGAAUAAAGGCCGUAGUUUAGUGGAGCAGUAUUGUACCAGUGUCGGUCGCCCAGUUUGGGUAACUUUCUUGUGGUUACUCAGUAGGUUAUCCUCAGGACAAACCAGGUGAAGAGCGUGUGAACACUCCUUAUGCUACUUUUGCAACUUUUCUCUAAGUCUGCAUUAAUUAAAAAGAAUACUCGUACACUUGCCCAAGUGGCCUAUAGACACUUGCUUAUCCAGAUUUCAUUUUCUCCUUAUUUUGAGUUUGUGUUUCUUUCACAGUAUGGAGAAGUGGUUUAGCGUCCUAACUUAGACCUGAAAGAAGGCUGGGAGUUCCCGUGGUGGCACAGCAGAAGUGAAGCCGACUAGUAUCCAUGAGGAUGUAAGAUGCUCCUGACAAGGAUGAGGACGGAUCUCCAGUUUCCCAGCGACUGGAACAUGGGGAUCUCUGAGCUUGUCCAAGACUGAGCCUUGCAGGUUCUCUCCGAGACGACAUGGCUCAUAAUGGACGGUUCAAGCCAAAUUAUCCAUUAUUGUUCUCAAAGUUUACAAUUAAACUAUCGAUCAAAACUGGCAGUGAUUCCUCCAGCAGCCCAAGCGCAGGGGCCGCCGAAUUGCAUCAGAACCCGAGUGCGUCCAGGCAGAAGCAGAGGAUGCAGACAGACCAGACAGCAGCCUGAUGGACACACAUACCCUCCACCCAUCACCCCGGGAUCCAGCAUCUGGUACUUUUCCUGGAGCCAGCACACGGGCCGCAACCCGGGGGUGCGUGGUCUGCGAGUGCGCGGGUGCGGUUUUAAUAGCGAGAGGUCCACGCAAUUUGCGACCCCCAUCCCUGGCUGGAAAAAUUGGAGUUUAACAGGUUCGGCUCCAUAGGGAACCAAGCUCAGCUUUUAGGCUCCUUCAGACACGGCAGAAUGCAUCUUUUCUGGGGAAUUCCACAAUAAAAUGACUGUUAUUUAUCAU